AGCCUCGUAGCUGAGUUGGCUAGAGCGUUGGCUGUAUUUACGCCUUUCCCUUGCUGACGUGGGUUCAAAUCCCACAGAGGCCA
rfam:Schistocephalus solidus strain NST_G2 genome assembly, scaffold: SSLN_scaffold0000082